GCGCGCUCUUCAGUCGGAAUUAGCAGGCGCUAGUUAUGAAAAGGCGCCCAAAAUCAAAUUAAAGCAUAGCAUUUAGGGACUUGCUUAUGCGUUUAUACUCUUAUACUGCGAGCCACCUUCGAUUCUCAUGCCAAUUCUCUGCAAUGGCUACUUCAAUUUCACAAUUUUGCUGCCCCCUACUCAGCCCUGACACAAAACCUCUCAACAUUCCCAAAUUCUCUCCAUGUCGUACUAAGAUCCCUUUUUUCAAAGAGACAUGCAGGCAAUCAACUCUAAAAUAUGCUUUUUGCUCAUUUACUGAUUUGUUAACUGAACAUGUUAACUUGCUUCUGGGUAAUCUUGAUCAUGUUUAUGCCCCACUUCUAGAGCUAUGUGCAACCGAGAAGGCUCUGUUACAAGGCCAACAAAUUCAUGCCCAUAUCAUUAAGUCUAAUCUAGCGUGGAAUUCUAUGUUCUUGAACACGAAGCUUGUGUUCAUGUAUGGCAAGUGCGGUUCUAUUUUGAAUGCAAAAAGGGUGUUCGAUAAAAUGUGUGAAAGAACUAUUUUUACGUGGAACGUUAUGAUGGGUUCUUACGUUUCAAAUGGGGAACCUUUGCAAGCUCUUGAAAUGUAUAGGGAAAUGCGUUGUUUGGGUGUUCCUUUUGAUUCGUACACUUUUCCUUAUUUGCUUAAAGCGUGUGGCACAGUUGAAGAUCUUCGUUGUGGGGCUGAAAUCCAUGGUCUAGCUAUUAAAGGCGGGAAUGAUUCUAUUGUUCACGUGGCUAAUUCUCUUGUUGCCAUGUACGCAAAAUGCAAUGAUCUAAGCGGGGCAAGGAAAUUGUUUGACAGAAUGAACGAUAGAAGUGAUGUUGUGUCAUGGAAUUCAAUGAUCUCUGCCUAUUCUGGGAUUGGGCGGUGCAUAGACGCACUGGGACUCUUUAGAGAAAUUCAAAAAGCUGGUGUUGCUGCUAACUCUUAUACUAUUGUUGCUGUUCUUCAAGCAUGUAAGGAUUACUCUUUUAUGAAACUGGGUAUGGAAAUACAUGCUGCUAUCCUGAAAUCAGGCGAAUUGCUUGAUGUUUAUGUGGCCAAUGCCUUGGUAGCUAUGUACGUUAGAUUUGGCAAAAUGACCGAGGCUGCAGUAAUUUUUAAUAAGAUGGAUGAAAAGGACAUUGUCACAUGGAAUUCCAUGCUCACGGGCUUCAUCCAAAAUGGUCUCUACAGUAAAGCUUUGCAAUUCUUCUAUGAUUUGCAGGAUACUGGUUUGAAACCUGACCAGGUUUCUGUAAUAAGCAUUGUUGUGGCGUCUGGCAGGUUGGGUUAUCUGUUGAAUGGAAGGGAAAUUCAUGCUUAUGCAAUUAAGAAUGGGUUUGAUUAUAAUGUACUGGUUGGGAAUACACUUGUAGAUAUGUAUGCGAAGUGUUGUUGCAUGAUUUAUGCUGGCCGUGCUUUUGAUAAGAUGCCCAAUAAAGAUUUCAUUUCUUCGACUACUAUUGUAGCUGGCUAUGCUCAAAACAAUUGUCACAUAGAGGCUUUAGAAUUGUUCAGAGAAGUGCAGAUGGAAGGGAUGGACGUGGAUGCAAUGAUGAUAGGAAGCAUAUUGCUGGCAUGCACCAGACUGAAAUGCUUGAUACUGGUAAAAGAAAUCCAUGGUUACACUAUAAGGCGAGGUCUAUCUGAUCCAGUGCUGCAGAACACAAUUGUUGGUGCGUAUGGAGAGUGUGGUACCAUUGACUACAUGUCUCGAAUGUUCGAGUCAAUUGAAUGUAAAGAUAUUGUGUCAUGGACAAGCAUGAUAUCAUCUUAUGUCCAUAAUGGGCUUGCAAAUGAAGCUCUUGAGGUCUUUUACUCAUUCAAAGAAACUACUCUUGAACCAGAUUCUAUAACUCUAGUAAGCAUACUCUCUGCUGUUGCCAGUUUAUCAACCUUGAAGAAAGGAAAAGAGAUUCAUGGUUUCAUAAUCCGGAAGGGUUUCAUGUCAGAAAAAUCUAUAUCGAAUGCUCUUAUGGAUAUGUAUGCUCGCUGUGGAAGUCUAGAUAGUGCAUGUAAGAUAUUUAUUUGUACUAGAAAUAAAGGUUUAGUUCUGUGGACAGCUAUGAUCAACGCAUAUGGAAUGCAUGGCCGUGGGGAAGCAGCUGUUGAAUUAUUCUUGAGAAUGAAGGAUGAAAAACUAAUUCCUGAUCAUAUUACCUUUCUGGCACUUCUUUAUGCGUGCAGUCAUUCGGGAUUGAUUGAUGAAGGAAAAAGAUUUAUUGAAAUUAUGAAGAAUGAUUAUCAGUUGGAGCCAUGGCCAGAACAUUAUGCCUGUUUGGUUGAUCUUCUUGGCCGUGCAAAUCACUUAAAAGAGGCAUACCAAUUUGUGAAAAGCAUGCAGAUUGAACCUACUCCUGAAGUUUGGUGUGCACUUCUUGGGGCUUGCCGGGUUCACUCAAAUAAGGAAAUAGGAGAAAUUGCAGCACAGAAGCUCUUAGAUUUGGACAUCGAUAAUCCUGGAAAUUAUGCACUUGUGUCUAAUCUCUUUGCUGCCAGCGGUAGAUGGGAAGAUGUUGAAGGAGUGAGAAUGAAAAUGAAGGAAAGUGGACUGAAGAAAAACCCUGGAUGCAGUUGGAUUGAGGUUGGGAACAAAGUUCACACAUUCCUUGCAAGAGACAAAUCGCACCCUGAGUGUGAUAAAAUUUACCAAAAGUUAGCUCAAAUUACUGAAAAGUUGGUGAGGGAAGGAGGCUAUGUAGCUCAAACCAAGUUUGUAUUGCAUAAUGUAGGGGAAGAAGAGAAAGUUCAGAUGCUUUAUGAGCAUAGUGAAAGGCUGGCCAUUGCAUAUGGCCUAUUGGGCACUGCCAAAGGAACUCCGAUAAGAAUUACAAAGAAUCUUCGAGUUUGUGGUGAUUGUCAUACUUUCUGUAGGCUAGUUUCAAAAUUAUUUGAAAGAAAGCUGAUUGUGAGGGAUGCCAGCAGAUUUCAUCAUUUUGAAGAUGGCGCCUGCUCUUGUGGAGAUUUUUGGUGACUAAUAAGAAUUUGUAUCCGAGAAUUUGGCUUGGAAGAUCUCUUUUGGUUCAUUAUUGCUGCUUACGGUGAGGAGAAUCACUCUUUACUGGGAAGGGGUGCAGAGGUAUGAUUUUCGAGUCCUCUACUUUGGUCCGUUAUAAACAGAGACAGAUAUUUGUUUAGCUCCUAGCAGCAGCGGGUUGGACUUUGGGGCCUAGCAUCAUUCGGCAAGUUGGCUCAAAUUACUGAAAAGUUGGUGAGGGAAGGAGGCUAUGUUGCUCAAACCAAACGUAUUGCAUAAUGUAGGGGAAGAAGAGAAAGUUCAGAUGCUUUAUGAGCAUAGUCAAAGGCUGGCCAUUGCAUAUGGCCUAUUGGGCACUGCCAAAGGAACUCCGAUGAGAAUUACAAACAAUCUUCGAGUUCGUGGUGAUUGUCAUACUUUCUGUAGGCUAGUUUCAAAAUUAUUUGAAAGAAAGCUGAUUGUUAGGGAUGCCAGCAGAUUUCAUCAUUUUGAAGAUGGCGCCUGCUCUUGUGGAGAUUUUUGGUGACUAAUAAGAAUUUGUGUCCGAGAAUUUGGCUUGGAAGAUCUCUUUUGGUUCAUUAUUGCUGCUUAAGGUGAGGAGAAUCACUCUUUUUACUGGGAAGGGGUGCAGAGGUAUGAUGUUCGAGUCCUCUACUUUGGUCCAUUACAAACAGAGACAGAUAUUUGUUUAGCUCCUAGCAGCAGCGGGUUGGACUUUGGGGCCUAGCAUCAUUCAGCAAGUUUUCGGCUUUAGUCUUGAAGUAACUCCGUAGUGCAAUUUGCACUUUUUAUGCGGUCGUAUAUAGGACUUCAAUUGAUGUAGUGUUGCUAAAAGAUGCUGAGGAGAGUUGCAGAAGAUGGUUGCAUCCAGCAAUAAGCAGAGAACAGUUAAGGGAAGCAGAGCUGAAAAUCCUAUUAUUUUCAAUAAGAAUAAAAAAUAAUAUGUUUUAACUAUUGAAGGGAUGAGUAGAUUCAAAUAGGCUCUGGUUCAAGACAAGCACCCCAAGUCUCCAAAGACAGAUGAUGGAUACAAGAGCUGUCAAAGAUUUUUUUUUUUUGGGCCAAAAUCUGAGAUAAUAGCCUUAUAGCCUGCUAAGCAAAAAUUUUAAGGCUAUGUGCUGUCUCUGCAACUUUGAUGCAGCUGUCACUGCUCAGGACGGACCAGAGGCUGUCGCAGCUAUAGCUCGUGAUCACUUAGGACACCCUUGGGGCUGGGGUUGCAAAACAAGCCAGUUCAUAUCUGAUCCUCUCGUAUGGAAGCACUUGCUCGUCGGGAAGCGACACUCAUUGCCAAAUCAAAAAGCUGUAGCAAAAUCAUCAUUGAGGGAGACUCUCAAACUAUAACCAACGCCCUCCAAGGAGCACCAGCACCUCUAGAUAUUCAGGGCAUCAUAAAUGAUAUUUUAGUUUUUUUCUGCAGCAUUGAGAAUGUUUUUCGUUUGUUAGAAGAGGUUCUCAUAGUGGCGUCCAAAGCCCUGAGAAACCCUUCCUUUCUAUGUAAUCCGUGGGGACUAUGUAACAUCUGCUAUGCCAUCUUAAGGUUCAUCAAUAUAAUUCUAUCUUGGAGAAAGAAAACAUAA